rnacentral:rRNA from 1 species
GACGUAGGAUGCAAGCGUUGUCCGGAAUUAUUGGGCGUAAAGAGUUCGUAGGCGGUUUCUUAAGUCUGGUGUUAAAGACGGGAGCUCAACUCCCGCAUGGCAUUGGAUACUGGGAAGCUAGAGUGUGGUAGAGGUCUCGGGAAUUCCAGGUGUAGCGGUGAAAUGCGUAGAUAUCUGGAGGAACACCGGUGGCGAAAGCGCGAGACUGGGCCAUAACUGACGCUGAGGAACGAAAGCCAGGGGA